AGCCCUUGAUGCCUAUGGAGUACGUGAGGGACGCUUGGAUUGGCCAGAGAGAAAAGCUUCUCAAUGUGUUGCCUGGAAACCAUGAUUAUGCAGCUGUUUUGCCUGAAACAUCUUCAUCUCAUCAUAUGGAAAUGUUUCAACCACCUUAUUCAACAAAGGAUGAACCGCUGGAGCUAGUUGAAGAGGCUGGUGUUGUUGAAAAGGUAAAUGUUCCUAGUAAAAAGAGGCAGCGUCAUAAAGGCCCGAAAUCCCCAAGAGCAAAGAAGGGUAUGGGAGGCGCUCAAGUACCCAAACCUGAGGGUAGUCCUCCUACUCAACGAGCACGGGCUGCCAAGAAAUCCGCGGAAAUUAUGAUAAAUGGGAUCAACAUGGACAUUUCAGUCAUUCCCAUACCUGUUUGCUCGUGUACCGGCAACCCCCAACAAUGCUAUCGUUGGGGUUGUGGUGGAUGGCAAUCAGCAUGCUGUACGACAUGCAUUUCUGUGUAUCCCUUGCCUAUGAGUACAAAACGGCGUAGUGCAAGGAUAGCAGGGAGAAAAAUGAGUCUAGGAGCUUUCAAGAAAGUCUUAGAGAAACUUGCUGGUGAAGGCUAUGACUUCUCUAAUCCGAUUGAUCUGAGAACUCACUGGGCUAAACACGGUACGAACAAGUUUGUCACUAUUAGGUAGAUGUACCAUAUGGAUCCUUGUUCUGCUUGUACUCUAAGCUGUUUCAAACUUAUUGAUGCCAGGGAAACUGAUGUAAUAGAUGAGAUUUAUCAAUAGAUUCUUGCCUCAUUUGUGACUGAUUUUUCUACUGUUAAUUGUUAAGUGAUUCCUUGAUUCUUUCUUACCUUUUUUACUUGUGCGUAUUCUAUUUCAUCUGAUUUAGAAUAAAUUUGGAAUAAGAAUCUAAUUCUAGUGUAUGUGGCAGCCUCAUUCUUUCUGAAGUUAUUGCAGCAUGUGUAAAUGAAUGAGCAGUUCAUGGACCCAUGAUGUGAGGUAGUUGCUUUAGCCUUGCCACAUUGUUAGUGAGAAACUUGUUAUUGAUAACCCAACUUAGAGGAUGUUUUGCUUCUUUUUCCCUUAAGAGGUUGUAAUAACAUGAUAGUUCUAAGUCCUUUCAUGGCUACUGUGGGGUGUAGAUUGUGACAGUGAUUUAUUUUGUGACGAAUGCAUUUUACUCUUGUGGUGAUGUUCUAUAAUGCAUAGGCCUCUCGUCGUUUUUGUUCGAGUUCUUAUGUGGAUGAUGGUCUAACAAAGAUAGCAAGUUUUUUGUUCUUGCCGUGGUUGUCCUGCCUGCCAUUUGCUGGCAGGAUUGGAGUUUGUAAGGAGGUUGAAUUUGGAGUGAAAUAGAACUAGAAAAUUAAGGACCUGUUUUUGGUACCGUUUAUUUAACAACGCCCCGCGCUGCAGGAUCAGGCGUUGUUAACUUUUAUUUUUAUAACCAAAAAAAAAAUUAGUUGUUUAUACUUGUAAAAUACAAAUAAAUAAAUUGAGAAUUAUUUAUGUUAAUAAAUAAUAACUGAGUUAUAGAUUCCAACCAAAGAUUAUGUCUUAAAGUUGAGAUAAAAAUAUUUUUCAUGAAAUAAAAAAUAAUAUGUAUACAUUUUUUUUCUGUAAUUGAGUUCAUAAUUCUUGAAAAGAAGCAUGUUCUUAGUCAUCAUCUCUAUUUGUUUAUGUAAGAGGAGUGUCGUUCAUCUAGGGAGAACAAUAGCUACAUAAUUAUAUUUAUAUUAUAUUCAUUAUUUAUUAGAUAAAAAAUUAUAUAUUUAUAUCUUAUUCAUAAAAUUUUAAAUAUUUAUUACUCAAGAACUGUUUAUUAUUCAACAUAAACUAAUAUAUAUAUAUAUAUAUAUAUAUAUUUAUUUUCAUCACUUAAUAUACAUAUAUCUCAAUAAAGUUUAACAAUAUUCAUUAACUUAUCUAUUUGAAUUAGUUCAAAUAAAUAUUUAUUAUAUUCAUAUUAAAUUAUUAUCUUUACAUACAUAUUUACCCUUGUCAAAUUAAUUUUUUUUUUCAUUAUAUCGAACAAGUAAUUUUGUCAUAUUAAUAACAAAAGCUAAUUAGAGUUGGAAAAAUAAUCUUUGUUAUGAGAGGAUUCACGGAUCAUUACCCUUCUAAAAAAAUCAAUGAAUUGGCUAUUAGAAUAAUACAAUCUUUUUAUUAGUCAUUGUCAUAUUGAUAAAGGACAAGUUAGUCUUUUUAAAUUUUAAAAGUACAUUUAAAUAAUUAAAUUACCCUUAAAAAAAAACUUAUUUAACUAGAGUUUAGGGAUUUCUUUUUUUUGUAUAUUCAUUUUGGGCUUUUAGUUAUUAUCAAGUUGACUAAAGAACAAUUUAAUAUUUUAAUAAUUAUAAAAUAUAAUUUAAAAAUCAAAGUUGGCUAAAACAUGCAAUGCGGGUGGGAGGCACUCGUAGUCCUUUAAUGACACGUACAGAGUCUUUUAGCAUCCAAAUGAUAGUUUCCAUGAAAGCGUUGGAAGCAUUGAGGUGUCUUUUUCCACGUGGAGCAACACUUCUCAUCAUUUAUGUGAUGGUAUGUCAUUAUCGAUUUUUUUUUUCUCUCUCCUCCUCGAAAUUUGCACUGGUCAUUCAAAGUUUUUCUUUUAUUUACCAUUAUUUGAACUUUGGUCCUCAGGUUUUAUUCUAAUUUUUGUUUCUGGCCCAUUUGUUAAAUUUAAUUUGUUUUCAUUUUAUUUUUAAAUCCAUAAUUGUAAUUUGUAUUCUUUUCAAAUGUGAUCCAUAUUCUUUUGAUUUUUAUUUUUUCUGGAUUCUUAUGUGAAUUUCAUUUUUCUUUUCAAUUUGUCCAUUCAAUUCCAAAUUCUAGGUUGUCAUCUCAUUUAUUUAUUUAUAUUUUAAAUUUGAUUUUCAUUCUCUUAAUUGUUUUUUUUUAAUCAUUUUGUAUAAAAUUUUCAAUUUCAUCGUUCAACAUUUUAUUUGUUAGAAAUUAGGUUUUGUGGUUUUUUAGAUGAGAUGAUUCUGAUUUAAUGACUCAAGUCACAGGUUUGAAAAGUUAACACAGGUUGAUAUUUUUUUUUAUUACAAUUUCAUCAUUUGAAAUUACUUAUAAUGGGCUUAUGAUCUUCUUCGGUUUCCUUUCAAUUAGGUUAUCUCAAUCUUAUGACCGAGGCAACAAUUAUUGUAAUACCCCACCUUACUAGCAAGAUAUUGUCCGCUUUGGGCCUCCUAGUCCAUCCAAAUCUAGGGCUUCCACCCAGGUCCCCCUCACGGUUUUGUUCUUGGCAGCCACACAUAACUCCAAAACGCGUCUUACUAAUCAAGGUGAGCAUGCAUUUAUAAGGCCCUAGCUCUGGACGCUCGCUUUCGAUGUGAGAUCUUAUAAUCCCCCUACCUUAAGACGAGCCGUACUCGGCUCUGAUACCAAAUGUAACACCCCCACCUCAUUAGCAAGAUAUUGUUCAUUUUGGGCCUCACAGUCCACCCAAAUCCAGAGCUUCCAUCCAGGUCCCCCUCAUGGUUUUGUUCUUGGCAGCCACGCAUAACUCCAAAACGCAUCUUACUAGUAAAGGUGAGUAUGCACUUAUAAGGCCCUAGCUCUGGGCGCUCGCUUGCGAUGUGGGAUUUUACAAUUAUGAUUGAUUAACUCGGGUAUAUUUUUAGAUCUUUUUUUUCUAUAUAUUUUUUUGGUUUUCUCCUUUAAAAUUAGAUUUAAAAAAAAAUUAAACUUCAUUAUUUUCCAUGUUUUGCUUUCUAUUUUGUUUGCAUGAUCCAACUUGCAAGGUUUUACAGCUUUAGCAAGGUUUGUACGUGUUUUAUUAUUUUAGGCAUUAUUUUUUUUUCAAUUUGUUUUUUAUGAGGUUGAUCUAACCUCACGACUCAAGUUGUGGGUUUGUCAUGUUAAUUGUGGUUGACUUGAGCCUUUUAAUUUUGUUAUUUUUUAAAUUUCAUUUUUUAAUAUUAAAUUAUUUUAAAAUUUAAAAUUUUAAUUUUUUUUCUUUUUGAUAAGCCUUAUUUUUUUCUUGUCAUUGUUAUAAUUUUUUUUUUAAAUCCAGCUCAUUUAUUUUCUUUUUUUUUCUAUUAUAUAAUUAAAUAAAAAUACUUUACUGCACCUAGUGGGUUAUAUAACUUGAAUCAUGAAUUUUUUUUUUUAAAACACUAAUAAUGUCUAAAUAUUACUUUUUUACUAUUAAAAAAAAUAAUAGGACCUUUGCGGAAGCUUGACUAUUAUUUUGGGGGUUUGAUAGAAAUUAUUUUUUAAAAUGUUUUUUAUUUAAAAAUAUAUUAAAAUAAUAUUUUUAAUUUUUAAUUUUUAAUUUUUUUGACAUAAAAUAUAAAAACAUCUAAAAUAUUAAAAAUUAAUUUUAAAAAAUUCAAAUUUUAAUAAAAAAUAAAUUCAAACUCAGAACGAAACAGAGACGAAAAGAUCUCAAAACACUAGCAAGUGCGCACCAACAUUCUCAAAUUCCUAGAUAAGGAGCACUUUCAAAAAUGAGUAAAAAGUAAUUACAUAAAAAAAAUGGCGUGCAUCACUUCUUUUAUCGUGCUUCUUCAGUAGAGAACAAGAACCCUAAAAAGCUCUCCACGUCUUCUUUCAAGUAAGUUGCUUUAUAUUUCCUAAAAUACUACGCCAAUGGCUGUCUAUUUUCUUUAAAAGAAGUUUUAUCAGACAAAUCCAAAAAUUCGAAGAUCUUACUUUCUGGCUAUGACUAAUAUGUUUUUAUUAUUUAUUUUGGCUUACUAGUUCUGCUAAUUGAGACUUCUGCUAGUUUCACGGCACAAACUUUACUGUGAUUUGACUAUCUGCUUAUUAAUUUUUUGGUUUCUGUGAUUUGGGUUUGAAUUAAUUUUUGCGUCUGUAAUCUUUUUGGAGAUUUUCUCAGGUGAACACAAUGCUGACAACUAACUGUGUUAAGGUUAAAUAAGUUCUCUUGAAUUGUCCAAGUUUGAAAUAAUGGAUGAAGAUAACAGUUUGAAUAUUCGUAAUUGGGGUUACUAUGAACCAACACCUGUUAAAGGAAAUCUGGGUCUGCAGCUCAUGUCCCCAACAAUGCCUGAGAAACCCUUUUUGGGUUCGCGCAGUGCCGCAAUCAUGACAAGUAUGAAUGGAGGUUUUAACCAUAAAGAUGUUGGUGUUUCGCAGCCCAUGCACCCUAUGGAGUAUAUGAGGGGAGCUUGGAUUGGCCAGAGAGAAAAGUUUAUCAAUGUUUUGCCUGGAAACCAUAAUUAUGCGGCUGUUUUUCCUGAAACAUCUUCAGCUCAUCAUAUGCAAGUGUUUCAACCACCUUAUUCAACAAAGGAUGAACCGCUGGAGCUAGUUGAAGAGGCUGGUGUUGUUGAAAAGGUAAAUGGUCCUAAUAAAAAGAGGCAGCGCCAGAAAGCUCCAAAAUCCCCGAAAGCAAAGAAGGGUAAGAGAGGCCCUCAAGU
rnacentral:lncRNA from 1 species